rnacentral:rRNA from 1 species
AGGGCACCACCAGGAGUGGAGCCUGCGGCUUAAUUUGACUCAACACGGGGAAACUCACCCGGCCCGGACACUACGAGGAUUGACAGAUUGAGAGCUCUUUCUCGAUGCAGUGGGUGGUGGUGCAUGGCCGUUCUUAGUUGGUGGAUCGAUUUGUCUGGUUAAUUCCGAUAACGAACGAGACUCUGACCUACUAAAUAGGAUAGCAUCUCCUUCGGGCGAUGUUGAACUUCUUAGAGGGACAGGCGGCGUUUCAGCCGCACGAGAAAGAGCAAUAACAGGUCUGUGAUGCCCUUAGAUGUCCGGGGCCGCACGCGCGCUACACUGAAGAGUGCAGCGUGCGUGGGUAUCCUGCUCUGAAAGGAGUGGGAAACCAUGGGAAAUCUCUUCGUACUUGGGAUAGGGCAUUGUAACUAUACCCUUGAACGAGGAAUUCCCAGUAAGCGUGAGUCAUCACCUAGCGUUGAUUACGUCCCUGCCCUUUGUACACACCGCCCGUCGCUACUACCGAUUGAAUGAUUU